rnacentral:rRNA from 1 species
GAUGAACGCUAGCUACAGGCUUAACACAUGCAAGUCGAGGGGUAACGAGAGGGAAGCUUGCUUUCCUUGUCGACGACCGGCGGAUGGGUGAGUAACGCGUAUCCAACCUGCCCUUCAGUAAGGGAUAGCCUUUCGAAAGAAAGAAUAAUACCUUAUGUGAUCGUCUGAUGACAUCAGACGACGAUCAAAGAUUUAUCGCUGAAGGAUGGGGAUGCGUCCCAUUAGGCAGUAGGCGGGGUAACGGCCCACCUAACCUACGAUGGGUAGGGGUUCUGAGAGGAAGGUCCCCCGCAUUGGGACUGAGACACGGUCCAAACUCCUACGGGAGGCAGCAGUGAGGAAUAUUGGUCAAUGGCCGUAAGGCUGAACCAGCCAAGUAGCGUGCAGGAUGACGGCCCUAUGGGUUGUAAACUGCUUUUAAACGGGGAUAAAGUGAGCCACGUGUGGUUUAUUGCAGGUACCGUUUGAAUAAGGACCGGCUAAUUCCGUGCCAGCCGCCGCGGUAAUAC